ACUAUUAUCGAUCCCUUCCAUCUUCUUACUGCUGACAUGCAUGAUCCCCUCCCUUGGAGGCUUGGAUCUAAUCUAUCUGCUAAUGCGAGAAGGGUUGGUUGGUUGAUUGGUUGGUGCAGGUGGAGUUCGUGGCGGAGGAUGAGAUCGUGGAGAUCCUCCCCUACAUCCGCUUGGACGCCCUCAACAUGAUCUGCGUGCGUCCAGUACCCCGCUCCCCUCAUGUCCUCCUUUUUAUUUCUGUGUGGAGCUCUAAUUUGCCGGCUGUCCCAAUGAUCUAAUGAUGCUCAAUUAGUUGCCUUCUACUCGAUUUCGUGCCAUUGCUGUAUUCGAUAUUCACUUCGCUAUCCAGCUUUUAGCAGAUUUCGAUUUCUAGUGGCCGGCCGUUGCUGUAUGCCUGAUUGGAUGACCAUUGACCAUUUGACACAGGUAUUGGAUGCAGAAAGAGAGUCCCCUAGAGAAUUUCAGCCACUACCAUUCCACUAUAUUGAAAUAUCUAAGCUGCUAUUUGAUCAUGCUCGUGAUGAUAUCUCAGAUACUUGGUUAGUCCGAAACAAUCCUGGUUGAAAUUUGUGCUGUUUAGGGAGUGAUCUUAUUGAAAAAAAUUGUCCACCCGUGGUUGUGUUACAGGUGAGAUCUUUGAUUGAGGAUAUCAGAGAUGUCAUAUUCAUAAGGUUGGGGCUGGAUUAGAGACAAUAUCUGGACGUACUCAUCCUGUAAAGGUAUCUUUUUGUUUUGUCCCAGGAUUUUGGCCACUAAAUCAACUGUCUUUCUUGGCCCUCGGAUUCUGUUGAAGUUAUCAUUGAUUGCAUGUGAUCUACAUUUCCCUUUAUCUGUAUUUCCUACUAGUUUCCUUUAUCAAACUUAAACAGUCCAAGAUGUUGUGCACAUAAUGAUCGCAUAUCAGAAAGUUGGUGCAGAAUGGCUGCAUAGCACAGAAUUGGUUAAAUCUAUUUGGUGAGCUUAUAUGGUUCACAAUAGCUUAAUGCAUAGAUGUUUCAAGCAGAAAGAAGAUUCAGUAUUUUAUCUAUCUCCAAAAAUCUUGAUCCCGUUAACAUUUAAAACAAAUCCUUUCUCAAACCCAUGAUCUAACAGUGACAACAUGAUUUGUCAGGAAAUGUUCCAUGUCGCAAACUUAUAAUUCUUCCUUUUUUUUUCCUUUUGCAGAGAGAUCUAAGUCGCAGGGCGAGCAAGAUAUGCAUGUCAUGAGAUCUCAGAUCUCCCGGAUAGUAAUGGCAAACGUGAAUCAUGAUUUAUCUCCCAGGUUUUAGACUAUACUAUCUGACCUGAUUGUAUUUCGAGAAAGCUAAAGACAGUAAGCAAUGCCAAUCAUUUGUCACAAAAAAGGGACCAUCUCGUAUAUUUCAAGAUGAAUAUUGUUUGUGUUAUGUAUGCCAGGUGUCAUAUCUACAUAGUCUGGUAAUCU